GUAACAAGUUUGCCUCUGGGGCACACAGUAGGAUUUAUCGUGGAAUAUAUAAGCAGAGAGCUGUUGCUGUGAAAAUGGUGAGAAUUCCAAAACAAAACGAGGAGACUCGAGCUUUGCUUGAGCAGCAAUUUAAAUCAGAAGUUGCUUUGCUUUCGCGUCUCUUUCAUCCCAACAUAGUGCAGUUCAUUGCAGCUUGUAAAAGGCCACCGGUGUACUGUAUCAUCACAGAAUACAUGUCACAAGGAACACUGAGGAUGUAUCUCAACAAGAAAGAGCCCUACUCUCUUUCGACAGAAACAAUACUGAGGUUAGCUCUCGAUAUAUCACGAGGAAUGGAGUAUCUUCAUUCACAAGGAGUGAUCCACAGAGAUCUCAAAUCAAAUAAUUUGCUUUUAAAUGAUGAAAUGCGG
rnacentral:misc_RNA from 1 species